rnacentral:rRNA from 1 species
AGAACGAACGCUGGCGGCAGGCUUAACACAUGCAAGUCGAGCGCCCAGCAAUGGGAGCGGCGGACGGGUGAAUAACGCGUGGGAAUAUGCCCUUUGGUACGGAACAACUCAGGGAAACUUGAGCUAAUACCGUAUGAGCCGGUAACGGGAAAGAUUUAUCGCCAAAGGAUUAGCCCGCGUCCGAUUAGCUAGUUGGUGAGGUAACGGCCCACCAAGGCACCGAUCGGUAGCUGGUCUGAGAGGACGACCAGCCACACUGGGACUGAGACACGGCCCAGACUCCUACGGGAGGCAGCAGUGGGGAAUCUUGGACAAUGGGGGCAACCCUGAUCCAGCCAUGCCGCGUGAGUGAUGAAGGCCUUAGGGUUGUAAAACUCUUUCGACGGGGACGAUAAUGACGGUACCCGUAGAAGAAGCUCCGGCUAACUUCGUGCCAGCAGCCGC